rnacentral:sRNA from 1 species
UCGGUUUGUUACACAGACCUAAAGCAGUUUAGUCAAGUAGUCCUCAGGUAUUAUCUAAAUAUCCUACGUAGUGACCCUUCCUUCAUCGCUUAAAAAAUCUGUAACGCAUACCAUCGCGCCGGAAGGCUCAAUAAUUUUUUAAAAGGUAAUAUCUAUGUCUAACAAAAUGACUGGUUUAGUAAAAUGGUUCAACGCUGACAAAGGUUUCGGUUUCAUCACUCCUGACGAUGGCUCUAAAGACGUGUUCGUACACUUCUCUGCUAUCCAGAACGAUGGCUACAAAUCUCUCGACGAAGGCCAGAAAGUCUCUUUCACUAUCGAAAGCGGCGCUAAAGGCCCGGCAGCAGCGAACGUUACCAGCCUGUAAGUUCUGCUCGCCCUGAAUUAAAAAACCCGCCUUUCGGCGGGUUUUU